ensembl:lncRNA
CAAAAUAUGACGCAAGUUGAUGCGUUCACUCAAAAGAUUCAUAAACAAACGAAAGGCCACUAAAAGGCGGUAUAAAUUGCACUACCGACGCGAAACUGCUCUGAAGGGAUUUUUAUCAGAUUCUAAGACAGCAUCACAUUCAACUUUGAUUGAAAUUAGUAUUGUUGCAAAUCCUCUGAGCCAAGGAAAACUGGAUGGAUUAGGAGUGAAUUCUGGCUCGCUGUGGUCCAGAUGUGUUUGGGAACGGUUGGUUGGGGAGCCGCUGCAAGAUGUUGGGCAAUUUUGGAGAAAAUUAGAAAUAAACAAGAGGGUUUGUUGACCUCAUUUCUGCGGAUGUUGAGUUCCACCCUGAUACAGACACAUAUUUUUUGUGGUCGGCUCAGCAGAAGAACUCCCAAUGUUUCCGUUAGUUCACUGCUGAGCUAUUAGCUUGCCGUUAAGAGAGGGAAUUUGGAGAUAAAAACGGAGGGAUUUAAGCUAUAGGGUAUUUUAAAUCCUACAAUCUUAAGGGUUCUGUACCUCUGAAAACCUUUGGGAACAGGCCUGAAUUUGUCUUUGCAUAUCAAAUGCUGCCUUUUUCCAUUGCUGAAAUGCAGAUUGUGGUGCCAAACUCUGAUGGAGUUGGUUCUGGGCUAGAAAAAUAACUUCUGUUCUCCUAAAACCUGCUGGUCUUAAUCCAGAGACUGGUAUGUUAGAGGUUGAAGGUGGGACGAUGUCCAACCCAAGUCAACAGAACAACCUAGUCUGGCAAAACCGCAUAGCAUCCCCUCAGAAGUCAGAAAACCUUAAAGGAGACAUAUUAUGCCCCUUUUUACAUUAUGUAAUAUAAGUCUAGCUGGUGUCCCCAGAAUGUGUCUGUAAAGUUUCAGCUCAAAAUACCCGACAGAUCAUUUAUUAUAUCAUUUUGAAAAUGCCUGUUUUGAGUGAAAGCAGAAACUUGCUGUUUUUCGUGCCUGUCGCUUUAAAUGCAAAUGAGCUGCUGCUCUCCGCCUCCUUUUCCAGAAUAGAGCUGCAUCAUUACAGCUCAGACCUGCUAAAAACAUCUGUUUUGGUUCUGAUUAUCAUGGUUAUCUUGCUGAAAUCAUGCGUUUUAAACCAUAUGAGUUUAAACUUCUAAUAUAUGGUUUUCUGAGUGCACACAUCUGAAGCACAUGGACAGAAAAAGGCUGUCACAGCAUGUGAGUACUAAACUAAGUUCUUAUUCACACACAAGUUUACGUUAAAAAAAUCACGAGUUACAAAAACAGUCAGUUAUGUCUGUGAAGUUUUUAGAUCUGUGUGGCAGCAGCAAUUUACAGUAAAUACAUCAAUAAAUCCACAGUGUUCUGUGCUCGUCUGUGCA